rfam:Myotis davidii contig226372, whole genome shotgun sequence.
GGCAGCUCUCAAGUGACACACCCUGGAAUUGGGCUCCCUCCUCUCUGGUUCUGGGUGCAUCACCCAAGAACUGCA